UGGGGAAUAUUGCACAAUGGGGGAAACCCUGAUGCAGCCAUGCCGCGUGUGUGAAGAAGGCCUUGGUUGUAAAGCACUUUCAGUUGUGAGGAAAGUUAGUAGU
rnacentral:rRNA from 1 species